rnacentral:rRNA from 1 species
AUUCCCCUAGUAACUGCGAGUGAAGCGGGAAAAGCUCAAAUUUGAAAUCUGGCGGUCUUCUGGUCGUCCGAGUUGUAAUCUAGAGAAGCGUCUUCCGCGCUGGACCGUGUACAAGUCUCCUGGAACGGAGCGUCAUAGAGGGUGAGAAUCCCGUCUUUGACACGGACUGCCAGUGCUUUGUGAUGCGCUCUCGAAGAGUCGAGUUGUUUGGGAAUGCAGCUCAAAAUGGGUGGUGAAUUCCAUCUAAAGCUAAAUAUUGGCGAGAGACCGAUAGCGAACAAGUACCGUGAGGGAAAGAUGAAAAGCACUUUGGAAAGAGAGUUAAACAGUACGUGAAAUUGCUGAAAGGGAAACGCUUGAAGCCAGUCGCGUCGGCCGGGACUCAGCCUUGCAUUUUCGCUUGGUGUACUUUCUGGUCGACGGGCCAGCAUCAAUUUUGAUCGUCGGAUAAAGGCUGGGGAAAUGUGGCACCUUCGGGUGUGUUAUAGUCUUCUGUCGCAUGCGUCGGUUGGGAUUGAGGAACUCAGCACGCCUUUAUGGUCGGGGUUCGCCCACGUUUCGUGCUUAGGAUGCUGGCGUAAUGGCUUUAAUCGACCCGUCUUGAAACACGGACCAAGGAGUCUAACAUGCCUGCGAGUGUUCGGGUGGAAAACCCGUGCGCGUAAUGAAAGUGAAAGUUGGGACCUCUGUCGUGGAGGGCACCGACGCCCGGACCUGAACUUCUGUGACGGAUCUGCGGUAGAGCAUGUAUGUUGGGACCCGAAAGAUGGUGAACUAUGCCUGAAUAGGGCGAAGCCAGAGGAAACUCUGGUGGAGGCUCGUAGCGAUUCUGACGUGCAAAUCGAUCGUCAAAUUUGGGUAUAGGGGCGAAAGACUAAUCGAACCAU